CUGCCGCCAGGGAUUGUCUGCCAAAGCCUGCGAGCGCCAGCCGAGAUCGCAGCCCAACCCAUGGCCGGGUCUCCUAGCCGCGCCGCGGGCCGGCGACUGCAGCUUCCCCUGCUGUGCCUCUUCCUCCAGGGCGCCACUGCCGUCCUCUUUGCUGUCUUUGUCCGCUACAACCACAAAACCGACGCUGCCCUCUGGCACCGGAGCAACCACAGUAAUGCGGACAAUGAAUUUUACUUUCGCUACCCAAGCUUCCAGGACGUGCAUGCCAUGGUCUUCGUGGGCUUUGGCUUCCUCAUGGUCUUCCUGCAGCGUUACGGCUUCAGCAGCGUGGGCUUCACCUUCCUCCUGGCCGCCUUUGCCCUGCAGUGGUCCACACUGGUCCAGGGCUUUCUCCACUCCUUCCACGGUGGCCACAUCCAUGUUGGCGUGGAGAGCAUGAUCAAUGCUGACUUUUGUGCGGGGGCCGUGCUCAUCUCCUUUGGUGCCGUCCUGGGCAAGACCGGGCCUGCCCAGCUGCUGCUCAUGGCCCUGCUGGAGGUGGUGCUGUUUGGCAUCAAUGAGUUUGUGCUCCUUCAUCUCCUGGGGGUGAGAGAUGCCGGAGGCUCCAUGACUAUCCACACCUUUGGUGCCUACUUCGGGCUCGUCCUUUCGCGGGUUCUGUACAGGCCCCAGCUGGAGAAGAGCAAGCACCGCCAGGGCUCCGUCUACCAUUCAGACCUCUUCGCCAUGAUUGGGACCAUCUUCCUGUGGAUCUUCUGGCCUAGCUUCAAUGCUGCACUCACAGCGCUGGGGGCUGGGCAGCAUCGGACGGCCCUCAACACAUACUACUCCCUGGCUGCCAGCACGCUUGGCACCUUUGCCUUGUCAGCCCUUGUAGGGGAAGAUGGGAGGCUUGACAUGGUCCACAUCCAAAAUGCAGCGCUGGCCGGAGGGGUUGUGGUGGGGACCUCAAGUGAAAUGAUGCUGACACCCUUUGGGGCUCUGACAGCUGGCUUCUUGGCUGGGACUGUCUCCACGCUGGGGUACAAGUUCUUCAGGCCCAUCCUUGAAUCAAAAUUCAAAGUCCAAGACACAUGUGGAGUCCACAACCUCCAUGGGAUGCCGGGGGUCCUGGGGGCCCUCCUGGGGGUCCUUGUGGCUGGACUUGCCACCCAUGAAGCUUACGGAGAUGGCCUGGAGAGUGUGUUUCCACUCAUAGCCGAGGGCCAGCGCAGUGCCACGUCACAGGCCAUGCACCAGCUCUUCGGGCUGUUUGUCACACUGAUGUUUGCCUCUGUGGGCGGGGGCCUUGGAGGGUUGUUGUGAUUACUCAGGAAAGCAAGACUAGUCAAGCACUUUGCACAGGGCCUGGCACAUAGUAGAUGCUCAACAAAUACCGCUGUGUUUUGCCUGCACAGGCAUCAUAUUGGUCUUAUGCCUCCUAGACCCCUGUGCCCUGUGGCACUGGGUGGCACCCUCCUCCAUGGUGGGGGGCAGAGAAGCCUCACAGAUCCUCCCCUACCACCACCAGGGCUCCUGCUGAAGCUACCCUUUCUGGACUCCCCCCCAGACUCCCAGUGCUACGAGGACCAAGUUCACUGGCAGGUGCCUGGCGAGCAUGAGGAUAAAGCCCAGAGACCUCUGAGGGUGGAGGAGGCAGACACUCAGGCCUAACCCACUGCCAGCCCCUGAGAGGACACGCUCCUUUUCGAAGAUGCUGACUGGCUGCUACUAGGAAGUUCUUUUUGAGCUCCCAUUCCUCCAGCUGCAAGAAGGGAGCCAUGAGCCAGAAGGAGGCCCCUUUCCACAGGCAGCGUCUCCACAGGGAGAGGGGCAGCAGGAGGCUGGGAAAUCGUGGGGAGUGGGGCCGUAACUGGGUACAAUAGGGGGAACCUCACCAGAUGCCCGACCCGACUGCCCUACCAGCCUGCACAUGGGUAGAAGAGGCCAAAUUGAGGCACCCAAGUGAUCCACUGGCCCCACGUCACACAGUUACAGUGAAGCCCAAGCCAGGCCUGGUUGAGGGUGAUAAACGCCACUGUCUCUAA